AUUGAACGCUGGCGGCAUGCUUUACACAUGCAAGUCGAACGGUAACAGGGUGCUUGCACCGCUGACGAGUGGCGAACGGGUGAGUAAUGCGUCGGAACGUGCCGAGUAGUGGGGGAUAACGCAGCGAAAGUUGUGCUAAUACCGCAUACGUACUGAGGUAGAAAGUGGGGGACCUUCGGGCCUCACGCUAUUCGAGCGGCCGACGUCUGAUUAGCUAGUAGGUGAGGUAAAGGCUCACCUAGGCGACGAUCAGUAGCGGGUCUGAGAGGAUGAUCCGCCCCACUGGGACUGAGAAACGGCGCAGACUCCUACGGGAGGCAGCAGUGGGGAAUUUUGGACGAUGGGCGAAAGCCUGAUCCAGCCAUGCCGCGUGUCUGAAGAAGGCCUUCGGGUUGUAUAGGACUUUUGUCGGGGAGGAAAUCCCCAGCGUUAAUACCGCUGGGGGAUGACAGUACCUGAAGAAUAAGCACCGGCUAACUACGUGCCAGCCGCCGCCGUAACAC
rnacentral:rRNA from 1 species